GGCAGGCGGGCGCGCGCCGGGGCCGGGCUUCCCAUUGGCCCCCAGGGCCGCGCCCCCGCCCCCGCCCGGCCGCGCCGCGCUCCGACCCCUCGCCCGGGCCGCCGCGUCCGCUCCACGCGCGCGCUCCUGAGCGGGGCCGGGGCCUGCGCCCCCGAGGCGCUGCUCCCCUCCAGCCCGAGGGGCCGGGGCUCCCGCCCUCACACCCCAGAGGGCGCGGCCCCCCGCGCCUCCCGGCGGCGGCCCCGUCCGCCCUGAGCGUCUCUGCCCCCUGCAGGUAUCUCGCAGCUGGACCCCAGAAGCGCCCCACCCUGAGGGCCAGGCCCGGGGAAGUCGUGGACGCUGCUAGGAGCGGCUCCAUUUUCCAGAGAAGGAAGCCAAGGAAGAGGCAUGACUGGCCGGGCUGAGACACCACGGCGUGUUAAAAUGUACCCUCAGUCCUCAGGACGGAAUGGCCAGGCUGCUGGAUGAGCUACCAAACAAUGUCAAAGGCCAAGGUUUGGGGCGGUUACCUGGGGAAUUGAACCCUGGAUCUUCCCACUAAGUUACAUCCCAGUCUUUUUUUAUUUAUCCAAUUAUUUUCGAGACAAGGUCUCACCAAGUAGCUGACUUGCCCAGACCAGGCUCAAACUUAUCCUCCUGUAUCAUCCUCCCAGAGUGCACAGGGCCGAGGUGUGGGAAGGAUCUGUUGGGGGGGUUACAAGUAGGCAGCUGGCUGGAAGGGGGCGUCGGCAUUCCAGGAGGGGCAGGGUGUUUGGGGAUAAUUUGGGUGAGGAGCCUAAAGAGGUAGACUGAGGCCGGGCUGUACGAUGCAUCAGGAAUUUGGACCUGAUUCUCCAGGGAACAGGAAGACCUGGAACAAAGGCUGGCCGGCCAGGAGGGGAUCCGAACACGCCUUCCUGCCCGUGUCUCGUGUUUCUUAGCAUCUUUAGUGAAGCCGAGGGUCCAGGGGAGUGAAGUCUCUCCCUUCUGGGGCUGCACCCUCCAGGACACCUGCCCCCCAUCUUUACACCACACUCCACCCUUCUCCAGCCAAAGAUGUUAUCCUGUCACCAGGUCGGGCUGGUCAUCAUGCUGCUGUUGGCUGUGUCUCUUCCUGGCUCAUAAACUCAAUGACUGGUUUCCUACUGCCACCUCAUCACCAGCCUGCAGCCCGCGGCACAGCUGAGCCCAGGGCAGGCGUCUCCCCAGGGCUGUGUCACAAGGCACAUGAUGACGUCCGCCCUCCGGAAGUGCUCCCGCCCCGCUGCACCUACCCUAACCUGCAGUCUCUGAGUCUCCCAGGAGUGUCUGCUCCAGCUGCGUUCCAGCGUGAAGGAGCCAGCGUGGUGCAGCCAGGGCCGCUCAGGAUUCUGCCUGCUUCUCCUACAAGAGACCUUGCACAGGCUGCAGGAUUUCCUAAGUCUCCUUCUUUGCCUGAGAAAAAGAACAGACCAGCACUCGAGAGGCUGAGGCAGGAGAAGUCCAGUGAGUUCAAAGCCAAUCUUGGUUACAUAGUGAACUCAAGUCCAGCCUGACCUACGUGGCUGGAUCCAGUCUUUAAAAAACAAAAAAAGUGAGUGUGUCCUAGAUAGAGGCUUGGAUUAGGGUACCUAGGUGGAUGGAGUUUCUCUCUCCCCUCCGUAGUCCAGAGCCUUCCAAGCACCUAGGAUCCUGCCUGACAGAGUAGCCACUCAGUACGUAACGGAUGAGGAACUAAAUGAAUUGCUGAUAGAUUUUCUUUAAUGGAGUUCAUGUCUCAAGAGGGUUUAGAAAGAAUGUACCCCGUAGGUUUUCCAGGGAUCUUUGAGAUUUACAGAACGUAAAAUCAGGAAGGUCUAAUUUCAGAACUGCACUGGAUACUCAAAGGGAAGUGUGAUGUAUUCAGUUCUAUUAAAAACACAAACAAAAGCUCCUCCCUAUCUGGAGCCCUUAGCCCUGUAUCUUCUGGCCCCCACUGUCCCUUAGAGAAAGAGAUGGAGGAAAAGAGUCCAGCAUCAGGUUGGGCCACGGGCAGCUGGUGAGCUCAGUGGACCUGUGGUCACUGUGAUGCCACUGCAGGAAGCUGCCAGUCACAGAGCUCAGCCCGGAGCCUGGAAGCCAGGAGGCUGGGCACUUGGUUCCAGGUGCACCUGAUGCUUGCCCCAGCCAUGCCGGCACUUUGCUUUUCCUUUGGUUGGUUGGUUGGUUUGUUUUUGAGACAGGGUCUCACUGUGUAGCUCAGGCUCGACUUGAACUCACAGUAUAGUCCAGGCUGGCCUCCUGCUUCAGCCUUCCACCCGAGGGCUGAGAUUACAUGUGUGAGCCACCAAACCUGGCAAUAUUGUCAUUUUUCAAAGGUCUCCCCUGCAAUGGCUUGAUAGUCCUCAAAAGGGCUCUGAGGUGGGACUCGGUCUGGACGCGGUGACAAGUUGUUGUCAGCUGGGCCAGCUGCCCGCACAGGCAGCACUGGGGGCCCUGGAGCAGUGGGUACCAGGAUUGACUUUGCCAACCCCAGUGCUGCACACCCAGCCCGGUGCCUGCCAAUGACCUGCUGUCUGCCUCUACAUGGGGACUAUGUUGUUCCCACUCCAUAGAGGAGCAAAAUGUCACAUUUGCUCAAGAGCACGUUGCUAGAAGCAGGACUCCAGGAUUCUGUUUGUCGUCCAUCUGAGCCCAAAACAGUGUCUAAGCCUUUGACCCCAAGAAUCCUAGCCAACACUCUGCACAGCCCAGGUCUUGGGGGCUUGGCUGCCUUUGCUGGGGACAUCAGUUCCCGGGUCUGGAGGCAGCAGGAAGCGCUCACAGGACACAGAGAUGAGCUGAGGGUCCUCAGAGGCAGCUACUAAAACGUGCCCCAAGGGAGGAGGCCCGAAGAAAGCAGCCAGCCACUAGGCACCUCAGCCUGGGGAUGGCCACCAGAAUUCCCUGCAUUAGCUGCAAAUGGGCAGCCCAGCCCAGUCUGGCUUCUGCGGCUUGGCCUGGUGACUCCAUGGCUGUAAGGGGAAAAUUCUUUUAAUUUUUACUUAUUCAUUUUUUAAUUUUCCCCCAGAUACAGAAUCCUACCACUCAAGAGGCUGAGGCAGGAAGAUUGAAAGUUUAAAGAGGGGCAGCUCAGCAGCUCAGCACCUGCCUGGCAAACACAUGGUCCUGAGUUUGAUUCCCAGGACAGGACCCACUCCCAAAAAGAAAGCCAGCCUGGGCUGCAUGGUGAGACCCUGUCUCAAAAGAAAAAGGAUUGAGAAUGUAGUUCUUUGUUUCCAGAGUUUAAUGCGAAUAUCACAAGCGGAUGGAGAAAGAAGGAGGAGGAGGAGGAGAGGAAGACGAAGAAGGAGAAACAGAAGCAGAAGCAGCAGGGGGAGAGGGAGAGGAGAAAAGUGGGAGAAAAAAUACAAAUAGGAGGCGAAGCCAAGCAUGGUGGCACACACCUGUAAUCCCAGCACUUGGGGAGGCUGAGGCAGGAGGAUCACCAUGAGUUCAAACCCUGUCUCAAAAGAAAAAAAAAAAAAAAGAAAUAGGAGGGAGAAGAAGGGGAGGAGGAAGAACUCCAACUUCCAAAGGGGUACCCCCUGGGCUCAGGAAUCAGACUGGCACCUGUGGGCUUGUUCACCUUUUCCAGUGCUGCCCUUGGCAGAAGACCCGAGAGAAUUCCCAUACUCAGCGCGUCAGCCGGGACAAGCUGGUGAGAAUUCCCAGGGUAGGGAGCCUCCCUCCCCGCAGAGACCAGGCAGCUCACUACUUCAGGGUACAGCCUCAGCCCUUUGUUUUAUUCUGAGCCAGAGUCUCAUAGUCACUUGCCUAGGGUGGGGUCCAUUUUGACAUCCUCCUGCCUCAGCUUCCCAGGCAUGCACCUCCACACUCAGCGAAGGCAGCUCGUUUCUGCAUCUCCAAAGAUGGGCCAAAGGUUGACAUUUUCUAUCUGUGCUCCCUCCCUGACUGUUUCAUUUCCAGCAGGGAAUGUGGUCCCCACCUCUGAGGACACUCGAGUCAAAUAUGCUAUGUUCUGUCCACACUGUGGCCGGGAGGAAGAGGACAAGAGGAGGGAAAGGCCAGGACAGAAGGGAGCCCAGCUCCCAGCAUGGCUGCACUGAACUGAGAAUCAGGAAAUGGGGCUCUUUUCUCCUCUUCCUUCCUUUCCUUCCUUUCUUUCUUUCCUUCUUUGUUUCUUUCUGGAGAUGGAGUCUCGUUGUCUUUCCCAGAUGGGAUUUCAGCUCUUGGGCUCCAAUGAUUCUCCUGCCUCAGCCUCCCCAGUGGCUGGGAGCAUGUGCGUGCACCACAGUGCCAGUCAGAACACCUGGGUCCUAUCGCGCUUACUUCCCUGGAACUGGAGGAAACCGAGGGGUAACUUUAAAAAAAUGAAAAACUGUGGUAACACACAAUUGUAACCCCAUUUCCUAAGGAGGCUGAGGCAGGAGGAUUGCUGGAUCUUAGACCAGCCUGGGAAAUAUAGUAAGUUCUCAACUCAAAAAAAAAAAGCAAAUGAACAAACAAAAAUAGCCCGGUGUAGAUGCUCACACCUGUAAUCCCAGCACUGGGAGGCCGAGGCAGGAGGAUGGUUACCAGUUCAACACCAACCUGGGCUACAAAAUAAACUCAAAACCAACCUGAA